AUUCCUUAAACCAAAGAAAGAACUAUUUACAAAGUAUACCUAACAUUAUACUGAUUUUUUAAGAUAAAAAAACAGAUUCCAGGUUUUAGUAAUGGUUAUCUUUUGAGCUGGGGGUCUUAAAGGUAAUUAUUAUUUUUCAUAUUGGUGCCCACACAUCUUCUUAAAAAUUGUGUACAAUCAGUAUGCAGUACUUUAGUAAUUAAAACACAAUCAUACAUCCAUUAAUGUUAUAAAAUGAAGAGAUCAAAAAUAAAUACGUGGUUUGAGGCCAUAACUAAUUCUAAUUUGGUUUCAGUCCUCCACCUCUAGUACUACAAGGAAUUGAAUAGGAUGACCCCUCGCCAAUAUCAUGCUCAACUUGGACAUUCUAUGAAUCAGUGUUCUUUGCCUUGCCAAAUACAUUAUAACUGACUAGACUGAGAGAAACUAUUUAUUCUAUUUAAGACAACACAUGAUCCUAGCAUGACAGGUAUUCUCACAGGAACACAAAUGGAUGCUGGCUGGGGUUUGUAAAUAACAAUGAUGG
rnacentral:lncRNA from 1 species